rnacentral:rRNA from 1 species
AACGAACGCUGGCGGCAUGCCUAACACAUGCAAGUCGAACGAAGCCUUCGGGCUUAGUGGCGCACGGGUGCGUAACGCGUGGGAAUCUGCCCUUGGGUUCGGAAUAACAGUUAGAAAUGACUGCUAAUACCGGAUGAUGUCUUCGGACCAAAGAUUUAUCGCCCAAGGAUGAGCCCGCGUAGGAUUAGGUAGUUGGUGGGGUAAUGGCCCACCAAGCCGACGAUCCUUAGCUGGUCUGAGAGGAUGCUCAGCCACACUGGGACUGAGACACGGCCCAGACUCCUACGGGAGGCAGCAGUGGGGAAUAUUGGACAAUGGGCGAAAGCCUGAUCCAGCAAUGCCGCGUGAGUGAUGAAGGCCUUAGGGUAGUAAAGCUCUUUUACCAGGGAUGAUAAUGACAGUACCUGGAGAAUAAGCUCCGGCUAACUCCGUGCCAGCAGCCGCAGUAA